CUGGCGGCGGGCCUACACAUGCAAGUCGAGCGGAAACGAUGGAAGCUUGCUUCCAGGCGUCGAGCGGCGGACGGGUGAGUAAUGCAUAGGAAUCUGCCCGAUAGUGGGGGAUAACCUGGGGAAACCCAGGCUAAUACCGCAUACGUCCUACGGGAGAAAGCAGGGGAUCUUCGGACCUUGCGCUAUCGGAUGAGCCUAUGUCGGAUUAGCUAGUUGGUGAGGUAAUGGCUCACCAAGGCCGCGAUCCGUAGCUGGUCUGAGAGGAUGAUCAGCCACAUCGGGACUGAGACACGGCCCGAACUCCUACGGGAGGCAGCAGUGGGGAAUAUUGGACAAUGGGCGAAAGCCUGAUCCAGCCAUGCCGCGUGUGUGAAGAAGGCUUUCGGGUUGUAAAGCACUUUCAGUGGGGAAGAAAUCCUCGGGGCCAAUACCCUCGAGGGAGGACAUCACCCACAGAAGAAGCACCGGCUAACUCCGUGCCAGCAGCCGCGGUAAUACGGAGGGUGCGAGCGUUAAUCGGAAUUACUGGGCGUAAAGCGCGCGUAGGCGGCGUGAUAAGCCGGUUGUGAAAGCCCCGGGCUCAACCUGGGAACGGCAUCCGGAACUGUCAGGCUAGAGUGCAGGAGAGGAAGGUAGAAUUCCCGGUGUAGCGGUGAAAUGCGUAGAGAUCGGGAGGAAUACCAGUGGCGAAGGCGGCCUUCUGGACUGACACUGACGCUGAGGUGCGAAAGCGUGGGUAGCAAACAGGAUUAGAUACCCUGGUAGUCCACGCCGUAAACGAUGUCGACUAGCCGUUGGGG
rnacentral:rRNA from 1 species